ACAGUUACGCGUUCUGAUUGGUCUAGAGUCUACAGUGACUGUAGACUCUAGACCAAACAGAACGCGUAACUGUCUACAGUCGUUGCGCUACUGUAGACUCGACCCCUGCGAAUUUCCCAAAUGUGGAAAUCUCGAUUGCAUAAUUUCUGGUAGUGGGGGACUGCGUUCGCGCUCUCCCCUG
ensembl:snRNA U1 U1 spliceosomal RNA